CAGCGGAGCAUGUGGUUUAAUUCGACGCAACGCGAAGAACCUUACCUGGGCUUGACAUGUCAGUGACCGCCGUGGAAACAGCUUCCACUUACAGGUGUGACGAGCGCAACCCCCGUCCUAUGUUGCCAUCGGGAUGUCAAGUAUCAUGCCCCUUAUGUCCAGGCUACAUACAUGGCGCAUACAAGGGCAGCAAUACCGCGAGGUGGAGCAUCCCAGAAAGUGCGUCUCGGUUCGGAUUGGAGUGAAACUCGCCUCCAUGAAGGUGGAGUUGCUAGUAAUCGAGAUCAGCAAUGCUGCGGUGAAUACGUUCCCGGGCCUUGUACACACCGCCGUCACACCACGAAAGCGAGUAACACCCGAAGCCGGUGGCCUAACCGCAAGGAGGGAGCCGUCGAAGUGGGACCCGUGAUUGGGGUGAAGUCGUACAAGGU
rnacentral:rRNA from 1 species